rnacentral:rRNA from 1 species
CCUACGGGAGGCAGCAGUGGGGAAUAUUGGACAAUGGGCGCAAGCCUGAUGCAGCAAUGCCGCGUGAGUGAUGAAGGCCUUAGGGUUGUAAAGCUCUUUUACCCGGGAUGAUAAUGACAGUACCGGGAGAAUAAGCCCCGGCUAACUCCGUGCCAGCAGCCGCGGUAAUA